GGAGACGUAUCGAAGUGGUCGUAACGGGACUGACUCGAAAUCAGUUGUACCUUUUUUGGUACCGUGGGUUCGAAUCCCACCGUCUCCG
rnacentral:tRNA from 1 species